GUUUCUGUUUACUCUGACUCUAGGUUUCUGUUAGCUCUGACUCUAGGUUUCUGUUAACUCUGACUCUAGGUUUCUGUUUACUCUGACUCUAGGUUUCUGUUUACUCUGACUCUAGGUUUCUGUUUACUCUGACUCUAGGUUUCUGUUAACUCUGACUCUAGGUUUCUGUUUACUCUGACUCUAGGUUUCUGUUAGCUCUGACACUAGGUUUCUGUUUACUCUGACUCUAGGUUUCUGUUAACUCUGACUCUAGGUUUCUGUUUACUCUGACUCUAGGUUUCUGUUAGCUCUGACUCUAGGUUUCUGUUAGCUCUGACUCUAGGUUUCUGUUUACUCUGACUCUAGGUUUCUGUUUACUCUGACUCUAGGUUUCUGUUUACUCUGACUCUAGGUUUCUGUUUACUCUGACUCUAGGUUUCUGUUUUCUCUGACUCUAGGUUUCUGUUUACUCUGACUCUAGGUUUCUGUUUUCUCUGACUCUAGGUUUCUGUUUUCUCUGACUCUAGGUUUCUGUUUUCUCUGACUCUAGGUUUCUGUUAGCUCUGACUCUAGGUUUCUGUUUUCUCUGACUCUAGGUUUCUGUUAACUCUGACUCUAGGUUUCUGUUUUCUCUGACUCUAGGUUUCUGUUUACUCUGACUCUAGGUUUCUGUUUUCUCUAACUCUAGGUUUCUGUUUUCUCUGACUCUAGGUUUCUGUUUUCUCUGACUAGGUUUCUGUUUUCUCUGACUCUAGGUUUCUGUUUUCUCUGACUCUAGGUUUCUGUUUUCUCUAACUCUAGGUUUCUGUUAGCUCUGACUCUAGGUUUCUGUUUUCUCUGACUCUAGGUUUCUGUUAGCUCUGACACUAGGUUUCUGUUUACUCUGACUCUAGGUUUCUGUUAACUCUGACUAGGUUUCUAUUUACUCUGACUCUAGGUUUCUGUUUACUCUGACUCUAGGUUUCUGUUUUCUCUGACUCUAGGUUUCUGUUUUCUCUGACUCUAGGUUUCUGUUUUCUCUGACUCUAGGUUUCUGUUAACUCUGACUCUAGGUUUCUGUUAACUCUGACUCUAGGUUUCUGUUAGCUCUGACUAGGUUUCUGUCAACUCUGACUCUAGGUUUCUGUUUACCCUGACUCUAGGUUUCUGUUUACUCUGACUCUAGGUUUCUGUUUACUCUGACUCUAGGUUUCUGUUUUCUCUGACUCUACGUUUCUGUUUACUCUGACUCUAGGUUUCUGUUAGCUCUGACUCUAGGUUUCUGUUUACUCUGACUCUAGGUUUCUGUUAGCUCUGACACUAGGUUUCUGUUUACUCUGACUCUAGGUUUCUAUUAGCUCUGACUCUAGGUUUCUGUUUACUCUGACUCUAGGUUUCUGUUAACUCUGACUCUAGGUUUCUGUUAGCUCUGACUAGGUUUCUGUCAACUCUGACUCUAGGUUUCUGUUAGCUCUGACUAGGUUUCUGUUUACUCUGACUCUAGGUUUCUAUUAGCUCUGACUCUAGGUUUCUGUUUACUUUGACUCUAGGUUUCUGUUAGCUCUGUUUCUAGGUUUCUGGUCUUGAACAGUGUUUGAUUCAUCAUUGGAUCACAUGACAAUUCAAAAGGCUUUUAGAGAUUCACAACAAAGUGAAUAUGAUGCUGAUGGAAGUCAUGGUAUUACUAUCUACUGUGUCAAUGUCAUAACUCCCUCUCAUACACUUACACACGCACACCUCUCUCAGGUGAAGUGGGAGGGCGGCCCCCACCCCCAGUCCAGUGUGGGCUUCUCUGUGAGUGACAGCCGCAUCGCCACGGUGACCGAGACAGGAUUGGUCCAUGGAGUGGCAGUGGGCAUGGUCAAACUCAGAGGGGCGUUGCAGACCGUCACUCAGGACACCGGAGCUCUGCUCACCUUCGCACAGGUACACACACACACACACACACACACACAUAUACUUUUGACUUGUUGAUUAUCUGGUUGUCUUUGUGUGUGUGUCAGGAUGAGGUGGAUGUGGAGGUGUUUAACCUGACAGGGGUCAGGAUCCAGGGCCCUCUGGUCAAACUGUCUGUGGGCACUGAGGUAACAGUGUAGCUUGUUUCUGUGUAAGUUUGUACGGUAUUUGGGUGCGUAUGUGCAUGUGGUUUAGUAACCCCAGUGUGUGUGUGUGUGUGCGUGCAUUUAGAUGCCAGUGUAUGUGAUGGGCAGUGACAAUAGUCAGAACCCCUUUGCUCUGGGCAGUGUAGAGUCUGGUCUCUCCUUCCACUGGAAUCUGGGCAAGCUUGGAGUACUGGAGAUACAAACCCGACACACUCAGGUACGCUACACUUUGUCCCUGUACAGUGCCUUGCGAAAGUAUUCGGCCCCCUUGAACUUUGCGACCUUUUGCCACAUUUCAGGCUUCAAACAUAAAGAUAUAAAACUGUAUUUUUUUGUGAAGAAUCAACAACAAGUGGGACACAAUCAUGAAGUGGAACAACAUUGAUUGGAUAUUUCAAACUAUUUUAACAAAUCAAAAACUGAAAAAUUGGGCGUGCAA
ensembl:lncRNA